UCCGGGUUAGAAGCCUCGCCUGGCAGCCUCACCGGACCUGUCAGACCGCUCUUAUCAGCUGGACGGUCUCUUUGGGAGACUCAGUGUCACCAGUAAUCCCGCUUGUUGAUACCAGUGUGGUCAAGGUUUAAAACCAGAGAAUGUAGGAAGAGUGAGAGUGUCAUCGCGAAAAGGAUCCGCUGCCUGGAUCCUUUGUAUGCAGAAGUCAUAAUGGAGUACAAGCCGUCGGGAGCUCGGGAGGAUAUCGUCCACAACAGGAACAGUGUGGCACAAACAGGAAGUCCCACAUACUAACCUUCCUCUGCGGGUCGAGCUGACACAAAAGCACUGGUAAAUAAUUGCGUGUUUGUGAGGGAAAGAAUCUGACAGUUCGCAUCAGCACAAAGGGGCU
ensembl:lncRNA